UUCUGGUCUCAGCAGUGAGGAGGGUGUGACACUGCAAAGGACACCUUGCCUUUGCCCAAACCGGAU
rnacentral:miRNA from 1 species